CUUGUUUUAACUAGAUGUAUGGAAAAGACGGCGAGGAUUAAAUGACACGCAUCGGUAAUUAUUUUGAUAACGAAAGAGGAAGUAAUAUUCAGCCUGCUCAAACAACUAUUCCUUGAAGAGAAAGGUGUAGAUAUUUGGAAGUUUUUCAGGAGAAUGGCUGGAAACUCAUUAUUAGUCGCAGCAAUCGAUUUUGGAACUACAUAUUCUGGCUGGGCUUUUUCCUUUAAACAUGAAUUUGAAAGGGACCCUACCAAAGUAUCUGCAAAGAAUUGGACAGGAGGACAGCUUGUGUCACUCAAAGGACCCACAUGUGCUUUGAUC